rnacentral:rRNA from 1 species
CAGAGGCCACGAGCGUUAGGCGGAAUCACUGGGCUUAAAGCGUGUGUAGGCGGAGGCGUAAGUGUCUUGUGAAAUCCCACGGCUCAACCGUGGAACUGCUGGGCAUACUGCGUCUCUUGAGCCGGCCAGGGGUCACCGGAACAAGCGGUGGAGCGGUGAAAUGCGUAGAUAUCGCUUGGAACGCCGACGGUGAAAACAGGUGACUGGGGCCGCGCUGACGCUGAGACACGAAAGCCAGGGGAGCGAACGGGAUUAGAUACCCCGGUAGUCCUGGCCCUAAACGAUGUCCACUAGAUCGCGGGACCUCUGACGGUCUCGCGGUCGGAGCAAAAGUGUUAAGUGGACCGCCUGGGAAGUACGGUCGCAAGGCUA